UAGGGAAUCUUCCGCAAUGGACGCAAGUCUGACGGAGCAACGCCGCGUGCGUGAAGAAGGAUUUCGGUUCGUAAAACUCUGUUGUUAGAGAAGAACAGCGCAUAGAGUAACUGUUAUGCGUGUGACGGUAUCUAACCAGAAAGCCACGGCUAACUACGUGCCAGCAGCCGCGGUAAUACGUAGGUGGCAAGCGUUGUCCGGAUUUAUUGGGCGUAAAGCGAGCGCAGGCGGUCAAUUAAGUCUGAUGUGAAAGCCCCCGGCUCAACCGGGGAGCGUCAUUGGAAACUGGUUGACUUGAGUGCAGAAGAGGAGAGUGGAAUUCCAUGUGUAGCGGUUAAAUGCGUAGAUAUAUGGAGGAACACCAGUGGCGAAGGCGACUCUCUGGUCUGUAACUGACGCUGAGGCUAGAAAGCGUGGGUAGCAAACAGG
rnacentral:rRNA from 1 species